UAACGAGAUAAAUUAAUCUGC
ensembl:piRNA 21ur-2417 ncRNA